CCUUAUUUAGAGUGGCGGAGGGAAUAGGCCCAGUGAAGCCCGGCAACCUGAUGUAUCCGGCAUGUGCACGAGUCCUGCACUGUAUACAUUGAAGGUGCUAAAUCCUACAGGAUAUUGUAUUCUGAAAGAUGAGG
rnacentral:ncRNA from 1 species